CGUCGCUUCGGGCGGGCGGGGGCGCCGCCGCGGCCGCCACGUUCCCCGCAGGCGGCGGGGCCGGCCCUCCCUGCCCUCGCUUGGCCGGGCGUCCGGUUCCUGGAGGGCCGGUGUGGACAGAAGGGUUAGCGCUUAAGGGGCAGCGUAGCGGGCCCCGAUGUCCGGGAAGGCGUCCGGUCCUUCGUCCUCACACCGCCUCGGCAGGCCCGCAUUCCUGGCCCGCUGUAGAGACGAGAGGGCCGGCGGCCCCGGGCAACCGUGCAGGGCGCUUCCGUCGGCCUGUCCGCGCCAGUGCAGGCUGCUGGCGGGCGGGAACGAGGGCGCCUCCGCGACGUGCCCGGAGACGCAGCGGGCGAGCCCGCCGGCCGUGCGCACGGCGAGGCCUCGGCGUCCUCCUGCCGGAGGGACGCAGUGACCAACGUGGACGCCAGCCUCCGACAGACGAAGAGCACGGGACCGCUCCCAUCUUGCUGAACGCACACGGACUGAGUGUAGUCCGAGCCACAGAAGUGACCGAACCUCCCUCGGCCCUGCCCAGUACGAGCAAGCUUUGUCUGGGCCCCCUGCCUUUUGGAUAAGAUUGAUCAGGGCGCCCCGUCCCGGGAUUCCCUCCUCUUCCUGACCCCCAGUCCGCAGCAGAGCCCCGCGGAACUACUACCACACACCCCAGUCCCCGAAGCACUUUGCAGCGUCGCCCUAGCUAGGUGUCCCCGGGCGGUGGUCUCCGUCGCUGCUGGCGUGAGUGAGAAACCCAGCUUGUUUCUGGUGAGAUGUGGCUUUGGGACUCUGCAGGGCCCAGCAAGCCUUAUGCCUCUCUUCUGCGCCGCACGUCACUCAGCACGGUCGGAAACCUCACUGCCCCCGCCGUACCCUCUGGACAGGACCUGCCUCCUCCUCACAGCGGAAAUACUCUAACAAUACCCACAGUCUCCCGUGCCGUUGCCUCUCGUGCACAGGGCGGCCGACCGGACCCCAGCUUGACCUCACCACUUCUCCGGAACAGUUCCUGCUAAGGCCUCCAGUGACUCCCACUCUGUUGCUAAAUGGAGCUGAGCUUUCCAGUCAUCUUCCGUGAAUCCCAGCAGUAUUGACAAUGGUGGCCUCUUUCUCCUUGGCUUGUGAGACACAUCACUCUCCUGGUUUUAUUCCUGUUCUCUGGCCGCUCGGUCUCUCUUCAUCCACAGGCCCAGCGCCUUCUGCCCAGCUACUCCUGGAUGGAAUUCUUUAAGACUAGACCCUGGGUCUUCUCCUCAUUCUGUACCCCCUCCCUGGACAAUCCCAUCCACACUUGGCUUGAAUUACUGUUUAUCUGAACAUGGUUUAUUAAUUUAUAUUUCCUGCCAGCUCCAGAUCGUGAAUUCAAGUCUGUGACACCUGUCCUGCUUGGGGACCCUCCCUCCCUUGCUGGCUCUGAAGAAGCAAGCCACCAUGUUGUGGAGAGGACCACAGUAAGGAACUGAGGAUGGCUUCCAGGUGACGAGUCAGCAAGAAUCUCAGGUUUUCAGUCCAAGAGCCCACAAGGAAACGAACGCCACCAACAGCUGUCUGAGCUUUGAAGCAGAUCCUUCUUGUUGAGUCUCAGACGAGCGCCCAGCCCCUGGCCAACACCUGACUGCAGCCUCUCAGAGGACCCAGUUGUGCCCAGAUUCCCAACCCAUGGAAACGGAACCUGCCACAGACACCCCGGCCAUCAGCAGCCACCACCCUGAUCUGUCACCGGCCAUGAAUAUCAAGGCAAGAACCUCCUCCAGCAAAAGGACUAUGACUCAAUGAGAGCUCAGAUGACGCACAAAUGUAACUUGAAAGUCGCCGAUGAAUGUAAGAUUGUAGCGGAAGAUAUGAACAUACGGCCUGAGUUUCAAAAUAAAAAUAUGGAAGUUGAAAAGGAAUCGCUGGACAGUGGGGCUAAUGAUGAGAAAGCU